rnacentral:lncRNA from 1 species
UGGAUCUGGGAUGGGGCUGGGAUGGAACCGGUGAUGGAACAGGGGGUGGAACCAGGAUGGAACUGGGGAUGGAGUUGGGAUGGAGCCGGGGAUGGAACCGGGGAUGGAACAGGGGGUGGAACCAGGAUGGAACUGGCGAUGGAGACGGGAUGAAGCCAGGGAUGGAACUGGAGAUGGAACUGGGGAUGGAGCCGGGAUGGAGCCGGGAUGGAACCGGGGAUGGAACCGGGAUGGAACCGGGGAUGGGGCUGGGAUGAAACUGGGGAUGGAACCAGGGAUGGAACCGGGGAUGGAGCCAGGAUGGAGCUGGGAUGGGGCCGGGAUGGAACCAGUGAUGGAACCAGUGAUGGAACCGGGGUUGGAGAUGGGGAUGGAACUGGGGAAGGAACGAGGGAUGGAGCCGGGGAUGGAGCCGGGAUGGGGCUGGGGAUGGAGUUGGGAUGGAACCGGGAUGGAACCGGGAUGGAACCGGGUCCCCCCUGCUCACCCUGGGAGCCCUGAGGCAGAGAAGGAGCAGCCAGGAGGGUGGGACAGGCUGGGAAAUGGGGGGGAUGGAUAUCCAACAGCGUGCCUCAGUUUCCCCCACCCUCCUUCCCAGGAGGAGCCCAUCCCAGCCCCGCGGGGGCUGCUGCGGGGUUGGACCGCGGGGAGGAUGAUGAGGGUGGGACAAAGGCGUCACUCCGAGCCUCCCUUUCCUUGCAGCGCCCGCCAUGGCCCCGCUGGGCGAGGAGACCCCGCUGAUCGGGGGCCGCUCCUGCAGCCUCUCGUCGGCCGAGAGCGGCACCCUGCAGGUGUUCCUGUACCACCGCGCCCCCGCCCCGCGCCCAGCCCCGGGCAGCGCCGCGGGCACGCUCAGCUUCACCUUCGGCGAGUACACGGCCGAGGAGCUCUGCGUGCGCGCCGCCAAAGCCUGCGGUGAGCGCCGGGCCCGGGGCACCCGCCGGGAGGGGGGGUCGGGGAGGUGGGGAUGGGGUCCUGGGUGUGGGAAUGGGGUCUGGGAUAGGGUAUGGGGUCUGGGAGGUGG